rnacentral:SRP_RNA from 1 species
UAUUAGUGCUAUCGCAAUAGUAGAGCAUGAACCUGGUCAGAUCUGGAAGGAAGCAGCCAUAAGUGUAAUCGCUGUGUGCGAUAGCCUUUUUAUUAGGG